GACGAACGCUGGCGGCGUGCUUAACACAUGCAAGUCGAACGGAAAGGCCCUGCUUUUGUGGGGUGCUCGAGUGGCGAACGGGUGAGUAACACGUGAGUAACCUGCCCUUGACUUUGGGAUAACUUCAGGAAACUGGGGCUAAUACCGGAUAGGAGCUCCUGCUGCAUGGUGGGGGUUGGAAAGUUUCGGCGGUUGGGGAUGGACUCGCGGCUUAUCAGCUUGUUGGUGGGGUAGUGGCUUACCAAGGCUUUGACGGGUAGCCGGCCUGGGAGGGUGACCGGGCACGUAGGGACGGAGAUACGCCACAGGUUCCUGGGGGGGGCUGCGGUGGGGAAGAUUGAACCAGGGGAGGGGGCCGGAUGAACAAGCGGCGGUGUCGGGGGGACGGCCUGCGGGUAGUAGACCGAUGCCGCGUGGGGCGAGGGGUGAUUGACGGAAAGGGGAAACGAAGCCCCGGAGAACUACUGGCCAGCAGCGGCGGUAGUAGAGCGAAGAGAACAGGUCCAAC
rnacentral:rRNA from 1 species